rnacentral:tRNA from 1 species
UCCCUCAUGGCCUAGUGGUUAAGGGCUCAGCAUUGUCGCUGCUGUGGCUCAGGUUUGAUCCCUGGCCUGGGAA